rnacentral:rRNA from 1 species
ACUGCUCAGUAACACGUGGACAACCUGCCUUUAGGUCGGGUAUAAACCCGGGAAACUGGGUAUAAUCCCCGAUAGGUCUCGGCUGCUGGAAUGCAUCGAGACUAAAAGCUCCGGCGCCUAAGGAUGGGUCUGCGGCCUAUCAGGUAGUAGUGGGUGUAGUGUACCUACUAGCCUACGACGGGUACGGGUUGUGAGAGCAAGAGCCCGGAGAUGGAUUCUGAGACACGAAUCCAGGCCCUACGGGGUGCAGCAGGCGCGAAAACUUUACAAUGCUGGCAACAGCGAUAAGGGAACCUCGAGUGCCAGGUUACAAAUCUGGCUGUCGAGAUGCCUAAAAAGCAUUUCAUAGCAAGGGCCGGGCAAGACCGGUGCCAGCCGCCGCGGUAACACCGGCGGCUCGAGUGGUAACCGUUAUUAUUGGGUCUAAAGGGUCUGUAGCCGGCCGGAUAAGUCUCUUGAGAAAUCUGGCAGCUUAACUGUCAGGCUUUCAGGAGAUACUGUCUGGCUCGAGGCCGGGAGAGGUGAGAGGUACUUCAGGGGUAGGGGUGAAAUCUUGUAAUCCUUGAAGGACCACCAGUGGCGAAGGCGUCUCACCAGAACGGACCUGACGGCAAGGGACGAAAGCUAGGGGCACGAACCGGAUUAGAUACCCGGGUAGUCCUAGCCGUAAACGAUACUCGCUAGGUGUCGGCCACGGUGCGACCGUUGUCGGUGCCGUAGGGAAGCCGUGAAGCGAGCCACCUGGGAAGUACGGCCGCAAGGCUGAAACUUAAAGGAAUUGGCGGGGGAGCAC